AAAUGUUUGACCUAUAAAAAUUGUUUAAUUGUGAAAAGUUUUAAGAAAAUCCAAAAUACUCUCCAAAGACAGUGCUGUGAAGCUUUUAAAAGCCGCAACAUCUCUACCGACAAACUCAACAUACCUUCACACAAAGUAAGAGCUCGAGUAAUCACCAGAACCACGGCAACCUGUUAUUGGUGUUAAAAGUACUUAAUGCGAGCUUAACCCAGGCAAUCAGAAAACAGCCAACAAUAUCUUGCAGGCAUGGUGAAUUUGUAAUCAUAAUAAAGUGUUUUAAAUUAACCUUAAUAUCGAAAACAAAGUAAAUGAAUUAAUUUCUAUUAAGUGGCGAAGAUUGCAUCUAAACAAUUCGCAGACUUUUGCAGACUACUUUGUGUGAGACCACAGAAUACCAAGAUUGCAGUGUGUGGCAAAAAUCGAAACGAAUGUACGAACAAAUCAUCGAAAAAUAUUUCAAUUGCCUGUGAAUCACUUACAAGCACUUCAUAUUUAUAUGAAUACCCAAAGAAAAAAAUAUCGAAUUUAAUGAAAAUAUUUAAUUAAAUAUUCAUAAAUAAAGAUAUAAAUAUGGCCUGACUACAACGAAAUUCCCCAUAAAAGCAAAAAAAAAACAAGUCAGGAAAGAAAAGUGAACCUAAAUUAAAACACCCCCACCUUGUGGGCACCUCAACUCUCGCCAUACCCACUAAAAACAAAAAUAUUUGAACAAAUUCUGUUCAUAAUAACACAAAACCAUUACAAAAUGAGAAUUUAUGAACGUCAAUUGAGUGCAUGGUUUCCUUUGCUAACAAAGCGUGAGAAAAAUUAAAUUUUUUCAAAUAAUAUUAAAUUACCUUUUUUGUAACGCCUUCGUUGGGAGGCAAUACGGUGCAAAAUCAAAUAAAAAAUUUCGGUGGCCGGAAAAUUAACCAAACAUUUGGUGUCGGAAAUUAUCGUCAUUAUCAAGAUUAUCAUCGCUACCUUUCACGGCUUGACUGCCCAGACCUGCUGCUGCAUCAAACCAUUUUUUGCUAAGGAAAAUCGUUUAACAUUUAACAACGAACCAACAAACAGGCUAACAAGGUAGCCAAUUUAAUGUGCUAUUUAAUGGAAAUUGCGGUUAUAUUUGCUAUUUAUAAUGUCAGGUGUCCACUUCAUGCCACAAGACUAAAAGUCGAAUGAAGAAGUAACACAUGAAUGUCGCCGUCAUUAGUUAGAAGAUAACCACUAUCGAUUAAAUGAAUCAAAGGCGAUCGAAUGACAGACACCCCAAUUACCCCUACUUAAUU
rnacentral:sRNA from 1 species